GUGGUAAUAUUCUGCAGUCGUCUGGUUGAAUGUUAUCCUAUGAACAUAAAAAAUCGCUGUGUAAAUUAGAAUUAUCAUAUAAGGAGGUAUUACCUGUAUACGAGUAGAUGGCUAAAACAUGGCAAAGCAAUGAUCACCGCCAGUGAAAACAUGUCGAACAACACAAUCCACAGAAUGUGGAGUAGCUGAGAUAUCAGGUUGAACCAUGGCGGCUCCGUUAGGCGAAACCCAGGGGCCAAGUACCACCUGUGGAGUGGAAACACUUCGAGAAACUCGAGCACCCAAUUGUCCAGCUCCGCCAAGACCCCAAGCAUAAACGCGACCUCUAGAUGGAACGAAGGCAAGAGUGUGCCGUCGUCCGCAGGACACCUUGAACGGAAGAUGAAGAGUGCAGAUUAUGCAACAAGAAUACAGGAGGAUAAAAAAUUGGUAGAGUGAAGUUUGUGACGCUAAUAUCAUGAAGCAUUUCAAAAAGAAAUUGCUAUUUGGCAACUUUAUGAUUGUCCAUGAUGGAAUAAACCAUAAAUUACAGCUCACAUAAGGUUUGAAAACACUCUUGUUUCAUCCGCGAUUUCUGCGAGAUUAUUCUGAGGGUGCAAAGGAAUGAUUUCCUGAUAAUGUUUCGUUACGUUAACGUUACGUACUUCAAAAUCAUGAAAAAUCGCCUGUUUUAUUUGUACAGGAUUAAAAAUUAGUUUCAAUAUUUUAUGUAUCAUUUACCUGUGUAACUGUACUGCCCAUAAGUUCCAUGACUUGGCGGGGUAAAAUAUCACUAUUAUUAUUGCCAUGGCCCAGUUGUCCAUACAUGCCUGCACCACAAGAGAAAACUCCACCAUCCU